GAUGAACGCUGGCGGCGUGCCUAAUACAUGCAAGUCGAGCGAACAGAUGAGGAGCUUGCUCCUCUGACGUUAGCGGCGGACGGGUGAGUAACACGUGGAUAACCUACCUAUAAGACUGGGAUAACUUCGGGAAACCGGAGCUAAUACCGGAUAAUAUAUUGAACCGCAUGGUUCAAUAGUGAAAGACGGUUUUGCUGUCACUUAUAGAUGGAUCCGCGCCGCAUUAGCUAGUUGGUAAGGUAACGGCUUACCAAGGCAACGAUGCGUAGCCGACCUGAGAGGGUGAGCGGCCACACGGGAACAGAGCCACGGACCAGACUCAUACGGGAGGCAGCAGGAGGGAAUGUUCCGCAAUGGGCGGAAGCCUGAAAGAGCAACGACGCGUGAGAGAUGAAGGUCUUCGGAUCGUAAAACCCUGUUACUAGGGAAGAACAAAUGUGUAAGUAACUAUGCACGUCUUGACGGUACCUAAUCAGAAAGCAACGGCUAACUACGUG
rnacentral:rRNA from 1 species